rnacentral:rRNA from 1 species
GACGAACGCUGGCGGCGUGCUUAACACAUGCAAGUCGAACGAUGAAGCUUCCAGCUUGCUGGGGGUGGAUUAGUGGCGAACGGGUGAGUAACACGUGAGUAACCUGCCCUCUUCUUCGGGAUAAGCUUGGGAAACUGGGUCUAAUACCGGAUAUUCAACUUCUGUCGCAUGGUGGUUGUUGGAAAGAUUUAUCGGAGGGGGAUGGGCUCGCGGCCUAUCAGCUUGUUGGUGGGGUAGUGGCCUACCAAGGCGUCGACGGGUAGCCAGCCUGAGAGGGUGACCGGCCACACUGGGACUGAGAUACGGCCCAG